rnacentral:misc_RNA from 1 species
GAUGAAGAACGUAGCGAAAUGCGAUAAGUAAUGUGAAUUGCAGAAUUCAGUGAAUCAUCGAAUCUUUGAACGCACCUUGCGCUCCUUGGUAUUCCGAGGAGCAUGCCUGUUUGAGUGUCAUGAAAUUCUCAACCUUUUCAGCUUUCUUUGUUGAUCAGGCUUGGAUGUGGGAGUAUGCGGGCUUCUCAGAAGUCGGCUCUCCUGAAAUGCAUUAGCGGGACCUUUGUUGCCUGGCUUUGGUGUGAUAAUUAUCUACGCCAUUGUAGUCAAGCAGCUUAAAAUGAGGUUUCAGCUUCUAACCGUCUCCCCUGAGACAACUUUUUGACAAUUUGACCUCAAAUCAGGUAGGACUACCCGCUGAACUUAAGCAUAUCAAUAAGCGGAGA